rnacentral:rRNA from 1 species
UUUCCGUAGGUGAACCUGCGGAAGGAUCAUUGUCGAAACCUGCCAAAGUAGACUGUGAAAACGUAAUCACAUUGGGAUUGUGUUGUGCUGAAAAGCCACAUCAUGGUCUCCUCCCACAUGUGCGCACUUUGUGGGCUAACGAACCCCGGCACAGCAUGUGCCAAGGAAAACUCAAUGAAACCUCUGCCCCAUGUCGCCCCGUUUGCGGUUAGCGAUUGGGGAUGUCUCUCAAUGUCAAAACGACUCUCGGCAACGGAUAUCUCGGCUCUCGCAUCGAUGAAGAACGUAGCGAAAUGCGAUACUUGGUGUGAAUUGCAGAAUCCCGUGAACCAUCGAGUCUUUGAACGCAAGUUGCGCCCAAAGCCAUUCGGCCAAGGGCACGUCUGCCUGGGCGUCACGCAUCUCAUCAACCCUCUUUCCGUUCGUGGAUAUUGGCCUCCUGUGCACGAUGAUGUACAGCUGGCCCAAAUUUGAUCCUGCGGCGACUCAUGUCACGACAAGUGGUGGUUGAUUACUCAACUCUCGUGUUGUUGUGUCGGGGGUUGCUUGGAGGGUUAUGUUUAGACCCAAUGGUGUGAGCCUCUUAUGCCUUCGAAUGAGACCCCAGGUCAGGCGGGAUUACCCGCUGAGUUUAA